AAGAAAAUAAUGGAUGUGCUGGCUUCAUUGCAUGUGCACUCCUAACCUAAUAUCCAUCCACCUGUGCACCCACUGUAGGCAAGAAAGCAAAGUGGUUUGCUAUUCCUCUUGCUUGUUGCCUAUGAUUUUAACAUACCCCAAAGUAAAGUUGAAGAAUGUGAUAAAGAAAUAAAUAAAA
rnacentral:misc_RNA from 1 species